rnacentral:rRNA from 1 species
UACGGGGGGGGUAAGCGUUAUUCGGAUUCACUGGGCGUAAAGGGUGCGCAGGCGGCCGUGUGUGUGAGGCGUGAAAGCCCGGGGCUCAACCCCGGAAUUGCACCUCAAACUACAUGGCUAGAGCAUUGGAGAGGGAAGCGGAAUUCACGGUGUAGCAGUGAAAUGCGUAGAUAUCGUGAGGAACACCAGAGGCGAAGGCGGCUUCCUGGACAAUUGCUGACGCUCAGGCACGAAAGCUUGGGGAGCAAAAGGG